GCCUGGGUGGCUCAGUCGGUUAAGCAUCUGACUUCAGCUCAGGUCAUGAUCUCACGGUUUGUGAGUUUGAGCCCCAUGUCAGGCU
rnacentral:tRNA from 1 species